ACGGUUGGUCACACUGCUGUCUGUCUGAAUGUUUCGGUUCAGGCGUUGGCGCGUCGGCUCGCAAAUUAAUUUUUUUAUUUCCUUGCUUCUAAUCGAACCGUUUCUACUUUCUAGUUUUCUGCGUGCAGCGCAUGUAUGCCAUGAAUCCGUUUUUGUAGUUCACAUUGUUUUUAAAGUUUAAAUUUUUUUAUUAUUCUAUCGUAUAUAACGUUUGAGUUUCGUAAACCGUCUAUCUAAAAGUCUCGAACAAAAAUGGACAACUGAUCAAUAUGGCGGACCACGUUUUACCAUUUACGUUUAAUCCGCAGAGUUUUAUCCACUUCGAUCCGAUCACUUGACUGUUGUGGUUUCCGUUUAUCUUGUUACAAUAUUUCGUUAGAACGGUUCAAACAAGAUAGAUCUAUGAAUUUUCAAUUCGCAAUGUACCAGCAAUGUUUUACUGUUGAAUUUAGAAGAGAUGAAGACCAGGCUUUGUGCAUGCAGAGACUACUACCUCAAUAAUAAUUGUGAGUGACUCGGCUAAUCAACCCCAUUAAACGUACCAGAUGAUAUGAGCGUGGAACACCAAAAUAAGCGCCCGUCCAGGUCGACGAGUUCAAGUAUACUUGCUUCACGCCCGCCAUAAGGUAGGUACCAAUUAAUUUAAACAGGCUAUUAUCAUCGCAAUUCAUCAUAUAUGGUAAUUUGUAAUCGCGUUUAAUUCGCACUCAAGUAUCUAGUAGGUAGGUACUAGAUAUAUUGUUUCUGAUUUUUUUUGACAACUGUCCAUCAACUUAAUUUGUUGUCUUUUAAAUUAAUUUUCAUAUAUAUUUAUAUUAUAUUUAAUAUAUUGUAAUAGUGGGGUUCAAUAUUGACAUUAAUUUACAUAUCAAUAUUUUUGUAUUUUUGGAUAAUUAUUAGUUUACAUGUUUUAUACGUUACCCGUCACUAUUAUAUCAACACAUUUAAUGAUAAUUGACAUUUACUGCUUACUUCCAAAUAAAUGUUGUUGAUGGAAAUUGAUCAUUUGGAUAUUUUAACACACUCGUUGUACCUUCAUAGUUCAUAAUAUGACGAUGGGCGUUUUCCCAAAAUAUUUUUGGUGUAUGCGCGAUGAUGUAUUUAUGAGAUUGACUGUUACAAAACUAUCUAUGAAAAUAUUAAGAUUGGUUUAAUAAUACUGGACGCGAAAUAACCAGAAGUUUCUUGCUGAAAACUCGUCCUUCGAUCCGCCUCCAGUCGAGUUUAGUUACGACUAGCGAGUGUUAACACGGUAAUUGGUUGAUACCUAUAUUAUAAUACCCACCUAUAACCUCACAUUAUACGGGUAGGUAGAUACAAAAACAGUGUAAUGGUAAUUAUCUUUUAUUAGAUUAUCUCGUGACCGUCAAAUUAUUUUAACACUCGAUGUUUUAACGCGCCCGGCAAACAAGCGAUAAUCGUUAUUUAAUAUUAUAUAGUUUAGAGCAGCCUUUCCCAAAGUGUGGGUCGCGACCCACUGGUGGGUCAUCAGUCAAUUUUUGGUGGGUCUGGAACAUUUUUUUGAAUUAUAU